rnacentral:rRNA from 1 species
AGCUAUUAAGAGCGAAUGGUGGAUGCCUUGGCUGGUAAAGGCGAUGAAGGACGUACUAGACUGCGAUAAGCUACGGGGAGCUGUCAAGAAGCUUUGAUCCGUAGAUUUCCGAAUGGGGCAACCCAGUAUAUAGAGAUAUAUACUACCAUAAUGGAGCGAACGUAGGGAAUUGAAACAUCUUAGUACCUACAGGAAAAG